GCUGAUCAGACCGAAGAUGGUGAUGGCCAACAUCGGCAUCUACAGAGAGAUGCGCUGGUUCUCACCCUGGAACCAGUUAAGGCGUGUGGAGGAGUAUUUCCUGCCCAGAUUGAUCCAGGAGGUGACAGGACAGGACACCGUCCCGUUUGGUGACUGUGUUUUGUCCACGAAGGACACCUGCAUCGGCACGGAGACGUGUCAGGAGCUGUGGAGCCCCAGAAG